UACGGAGACUGCAAGCAUUACUCGGUUUCACUGGGCGUAAAGGGUGCGUAGGCGGAUAGAUGUGUCAGGUGUGAAAUCUCGGGGCUCAACCUCGAAACUGCGCCUGAAACUGUCUAUCUAGAGUAUUGGAGGGGUAAGCGGAAUUUCUGGUGUAGCGGUGAAAUGCGUAGAUAUCAGAAGGAACACCAAUGGCGAAGGCAGCUUACUGGACAAAUACUGACGCUGAGGCACGAAAGCAUGGGUAGCGAAAGGG
rnacentral:rRNA from 1 species